UACGUAGGGAGCGAGCGUUGUUCGGAGUUACUGGGCGUAAAGAGCGCGUAGGCGGUUUUCUAAGUCUGGUGUGAAAUCUCCCGGCUUAACUGGGAGGGUGCGCCGAAGACUGGAAGGCUUGAGUAGGGGAGAGGGAAGCGGAAUUCCUGGUGUAGCGGUGAAAUGCGUAGAUAUCGGGAGGAACACCAGUGGCGAAGGCGGCUUCCUGGCCUGUUCUUGACGCUGAGGCGCGAAAGCUAGGGGAGCAAACGGG
rnacentral:rRNA from 1 species